rnacentral:rRNA from 1 species
AGAGCGAACGCUGGCGGCGUGCUUAACACAUGCAAGUCGAACGCGCAGCAUUCUGUAGCAAUACAGGGUGUGGGCGCGUGGCGAACGGGUGCGUAACACGUGACUAACCUACCCUUGAGUGGGGGAUAACCUCGGGAAACCGGGGCUAAUACCGCAUAACAUCUUCGGGAUGAGAAGCUGAAGAUCAAAGGAGCAAUUCGCUUUCGGAGGGGGUCGCGGCUGAUUAGCUAGUUGGCGGGUAACGGCCCACCAAGGCUUUGAUCGGUA